rnacentral:rRNA from 1 species
AUUGAACGCUGGCGGAAUGCUUUACACAUGCAAGUCGAGCGGCAGCGCGGGGGCAACCCUGGCGGCGAGCGGCGAACGGGUGAGUAACAUAUCGGAACGUACCCCGUCGUGGGGGAUAACACAGCGAAAGCUUUGCUAAUACCGCAUACGACCUGAGGGUGAAAGCGGGGGACCGCAAGGCCUCGCGCGAUGGGAGCGGCCGAUAUCGGAUUAGCUUGUUGGUGAGGUAAAGGCUCACCAAGGCGACGAUCCGUAGCUGGUCCGAGAGGACGACCAGCCACACUGGAACUGAGACACGGUCCAGACUCCUACGGGAGGCAGCAGUGGGGAAUUGUGGACAAUGGGGGCAACCCUGAUCCAGCCAUUCCGCGUGAGUGAAGAAGGCCUUCGGGCUGUAAAGCUCUUUCGGCAGGAACGAAACGGCGCGCUCUAACAUAGCGUGUCAAUGACGGUACCUGAAGAAGAAGCACCGGCUAACUACGUGCCAGCCGCCGCAGUAA